AUACAAAGAAUGGAAAACUAAAGUUUCAAAGAACAAAAAAAUGAGUGAAGAAGUGGUACUUCAGAAGAUACAAUACUUAAGAGUUACGCCAUAAUUGGUAAACAUUAGGAACAAGACUGAUCCAAGCGCCAUACACAGUUCCCAUAAGACCGCGAACAAAUUGCCAAGCCUUUUGAGAAUCGGGAAUAGGAUAGUCAACAGCAGGGGGAAUGCCAGUAUGGAUGGCACUAAAUCGAUCGUAAGCAAUAGCCUUGGAAUUGCAGAUUCCGCGUAGACCCUCAUAUCCGGCAAAUCUUCCAUAACCACUUUUCUUGCAACCACCAAAAGGCAUUUGUAGCAAAUAAAAGGCACCAAAAUCAUUAACAGCAACCAUACCGG